rnacentral:rRNA from 1 species
UCGAGAAUUUUUCACAAUGGGCGAAAGCCUGAUGGAGCGACGCCGCGUGGGGGAUGAAUGGCUUCGGCCCGUAAACCCCUGUCAUUUGCGAACAAACCUUGUUCAUGAAUAAUGGGCAAGCUGAUUGUAGCGGAAGAGGAAGGGACGGCUAACUCUGUGCCAGCAGCCGCGGUAAUACAGAGGUCCCGAGCGUUGUUCGGAUUCACUGGGCGUAAAGGGUGCGUAGGUGGUGAGGAAAGUCGGAUGUGAAAUCUCCGGGCUUAACCCGGAAACUGCAUUGGAAACUACCUUGCUAGAGGUUUUGAGGGGGGACUGGAAUUCUCGGUGUAGCAGUGAAAUGCGUAGAUAUCGAGAGGAACACCAGUGGCGAAGGCGAGUCCCUGGAAAACACCUGACACUGAGGCACGAAAGCUAGGGGAGCAAACAG